GACGAACCGUGCAAACGUUGUUCGGAAUCACUGGGCUUACAGAGUUCGUAGGCGGUUCGGUAAGUUAGGUGUGAAAUCCCUUGGCUCAACCAAGGAACUGCGCUUAAUACUGCCGAACUUGAGGGAGAUAGAGGAGAGCGGAACUGAUGGUGGAGCGGUGAAAUGCGUUGAUAUCAUCAGGAACACCGGUGGCGAAGGCGGCUCUCUGGGUCUCUCCUGACGCUGAGGAACGAAAGCUAGGGGAGCAAACGGG
rnacentral:rRNA from 1 species